GAUGAACGCUGGCGGCGUGCCUAAUACAUGCAAGUCGAGCGAACAGACGAGGAGCUUGCUCCUCUGACGUUAGCGGCGGACGGGUGAGUAACACGUGGAUAACCUACCUAUAAGACUGGGGUAACUUCGGGAAACCGGAGCUAAUACCGGAUAAUAUAUUGAACCGCAUGGUUCAAUAGUGAAAGACGGUUUUGCUGUCACUUAUAGAUGGAUCCGCGCCGCAUUAGCUAGUUGGUAAGGUAACGGCUUACCAAGGCAACGAUGCGUAGCCGACCUGAGAGGGUGAUCGGCCACACUGGAACUGAGACACGGUCCAGACUCCUACGGGAGGCAGCAGUAGGGAAUCUUCCGCAAUGGGCGAAAGCUUGACGGAGCAACGCCGCGUGAGUGAUGAAGGUCUUCGGAUCGUAAAACUCUGUUAUUAGGGAAGAACAAAUGUGUAAGUAACUAUGCACGUCUUGACGGUACCUAAUCAGAAAGCCACGGCUAACUACGUG
rnacentral:rRNA from 1 species